UACAGAGGUCUCAAGCGUUGUUCGGAUUCAUUGGGCGUAAAGGGUGCGUAGGCGGCGCGGUAAGUCGGGUGUGAAAUCUUGGAGCUUAACUCCGAAACUGCAUUCGAUACUGCCGUGCUUGAGGACUGGAGAGGAGACUGGAAUUUACGGUGUAGCGGUGAAAUGCGUAGAUAUCGAUAAGGAAGACCAGUGGCGGAAGGCGGGUC
rnacentral:rRNA from 1 species